rnacentral:misc_RNA from 1 species
UCUCCUGUCAGCAAGAUCAUCCGUGUUUCCGUAUGAGAAACCCACAGCACGAUAGGCACCAGCAUCUGCCGACUCAUCACCUUCUUCUAAAUCUGGUUCAUCUGAAGGUAGAGGAAGAUCGAGGUAACGUUCCUUAUCAAGCUCGAGCUGAAUUGAAGCAUCAACGAGGUUAGACGAAGAAGAAGAGUUAGACCGACGCCGGGAAGGUGGGGGAGCGGAGAGAAGGUGACGAACAUCAUAACGAUCAAUCUGGAGAGAGUUCCAAUCGACAAGCGCAUCGCCGGAGUUGACAAAUGCCGCCAGGGAGUCGUCGUCGAAGAAGAGGGCAUGGCGGCCGACCACCACUAGAUCCAUCGGACACCGAAUCGCCCUUAAUCUCUCUACGGUCUCCGAUAGGAUUUGAG